GACGAACGCUGGCGGCGUGCCUAAUACAUGCAAGUUGAGCGCUGAAGGUUGGUACUUGUACCGACUGGAUGAGCAGCGAACGGGUGAGUAACGCGUGGGGAAUCUGCCUUUGAGCGGGGGACAACAUUUGGAAACGAAUGCUAAUACCGCAUAAAAACUUUAAACACAAGUUUUAAGUGUGAAAGAUGCAAUUGCAUCACUCAAAGAUGAUCCCGCGUUGUAUUAGCUAGUUGGGGAGGUAAAGGCCCACCAAGGCGAAGAUACAUAGCCGACCUGGGAGGGGGAUCGGCCCCCUUGGGACUUGGACACGGCCCAAACUCCUACGGGAGGCAGCAGUAGGGGAUCUUCGGCCAUGGACGAAAGUCUGACCGAGCAACGCCGCGUGAGUGAAGGAGGGUUUCGGAUCGUAAAACUCUGUUGGUAGGGAAGAACGUUGGUGGGAGUGGAAAGCUCAUCAAGUGACGGUAACUACCCAGAAAGGGACGGCUAACUACGUG
rnacentral:rRNA from 1 species